UACCGGGUGUGGAUGACGGUACCGGAAGAAUAAGGACCGGCUAACUACGUGCCAGCAGCCGCGGUAAUACGUAGGGUCCAAGCGUUAAUCGGAAUUACUGGGCGUAAAGCGUGCGCAGGCGGUUGUGCAAGACCGAUGUGAAAUCCCCGGGCUUAACCUGGGAAUUGCAUUGGUGACUGCACGGCUAGAGUGUGUCAGAGGGGGGUAGAAUUCCACGUGUAGCAGUGAAAUGCGUAGAGAUGUGGAGGAAUACCGAUGGCGAAGGCAGCCCCCUGGGAUAACACUGACGCUCAUGCACGAAAGCGUGGGGAGCAAACAGGAUUAGAUACCCUGGUAGUCCACGCCCUAAACGAUGUCAACUAGUUGUUGGGGAUUCAUUUCCUUAGUAACGUAGCUAACGCGUGAAGUUGACCGCCUGGGGAGUACGGUCGCAAGAUUAAAACUCAAAGGAAUUUGGC
rnacentral:rRNA from 1 species